ACACGCGGAGAGGAAGUUACACGCACCUUAGCACCAGGAGUUCCAAGAGGAUUAGCGGGGGCCCCCAGCUGCAGACCAUCGCGCCUCAGAAUCUCAGAGUAACGUUCACCUUGGAAUACCAGAGUCGACCGUUGGAGCUGCUGCGUCGCCGCCACCUGAGUGACGUGGGAGUGUUCAAAGGUGGCCUGCGCAGAACCAGACAAGAACUUUACAUCAUUAUCCUCUAUAUUAUAAUCUACUGUACUAUAGAAAGCCUUCUUUGUCAAAUACCAUGGGAUUGCUGAUCAUACCUUUAUUAAUUAACUGUUAUACUGAU